rnacentral:rRNA from 1 species
AUUGAACGCUGGCGGCAUGCCUUACACAUGCAAGUCGAACGGUAACGGGCCUUCGGGUGCCGACGAGUGGCGAACGGGUGAGUAAUACAUCGGAACGUGCCCGAUCGUGGGGGAUAACGAGGCGAAAGCUUUGCUAAUACCGCAUACGAUCUACGGAUGAAAGCAGGGGACCGCAAGGCCUUGCGCGGACGGAGCGGCCGAUGGCAGAUUAGGUAGUUGGUGGGAUAAAAGCUUACCAAGCCGACGAUCUGUAGCUGGUCUGAGAGGAUGAUCAGCCACACUGGGCCUGCGACACGGCCCAGACUCCUACGGGAGGGAGCAGUGGGGAAUUUUGGACAAUGGGCGCAAGCCUGCUCCAGCCAUGCCGCGUGCAGGAUGAAGGCCUUCGGGUUGUAAACUGCUUUUGUACGGAACGAAAAGCCUUCUUUUAAUACAGGAGGGUCAUGACGGUACCGUAAGAAUAAGCACCGGCUAACUACGUG